AGAGUUUGAUCAUGGCUCAGGACGAACGCUGGCGGCGUGCUUAACACAUGCAAGUCGAGCGGUAAGGCCUUUCGGGGUACACGAGCGGCGAACGGGUGAGUAACACGUGGGUGAUCUGCCCUGCACUUCGGGAUAAGCCUGGGAAACUGGGUCUAAUACCGGAUAUGACCUCCUAUCGCAUGGUGGGUGGUGGAAAGAUUUAUCGGUGCAGGAUGGGCCCGCGGCCUAUCAGCUUGUUGGUGGGGUAAUGGCCUACCAAGGCGACGACGGGUAGCCGACCUGAGAGGGUGACCGGCCACACUGGGACUGAGACACGGCCCAGACUCCUACGGGAGGCAGCAGUGGGGAAUAUUGCACAAUGGGCGAAAGCCUGAUGCAGCGACGCCGCGUGAGGGAUGACGGCCUUCGGGUUGUAAACCUCUUUCAGCAGGGACGAAGCGCAAGUGACGGUACCUGCAGAAGAAGCACCGGCUAACUACGUGCCAGCAGCCGCGGUAAU
rnacentral:rRNA from 1 species